rnacentral:rRNA from 1 species
CGGACGGGUGAGUAACGCGUGGGUAACCUGCCUUAUACAGGGGGAGUAACAGUCAGAAAUGGCUGCUAAUACCGCAUAAGCGCACAGAGCUGCAUGGCUCAGUGUGAAAAACUCCGGUGGUAUAAGAUGGACCCGCGUUGGAUUAGCUUGUUGGUGGGGUAACGGCCCACCAAGGCGACGAUCCAUAGCCGGCCUGAGAGGGUGAAGGCCACAUUGGGACUGAGACACGGCCCAGACUCCUACGGGAGGCAGCAUG